rnacentral:misc_RNA from 1 species
GAUGAAGAACGCAGUGAAAUGCGAUAGGUAAUGUGAAUUGCUGAAUUCAGUGAAUCUUCGAAUCUUUGAACGCACAUUGCGCCCUUUGGUAUUCCUUAGGGCAUGCCUGUUCGAGCGUCACUACACACCUUAUCACAAUAUUUGUGGUCUUGGCAGGAGUGAAUUGCUGGUCUAUGGAAGUAUUCCAGCAGUACACAAUGCUAAAAAAUAUGGGAAGGUUACCAGAUAUGAACAACAGACUUUGUAAAUGGUUGUAGGACCUAGAUCAGUCACAAGUCAUGUCUGGUCCCUUACCUUAAGGACCCCCAUCCUAGAUGAACUAUGGGUUGACCUCGGAUCAGGUAGGAAUACCCGCUGAACUUAAGCAUAUCAAUAAGCGGAGGA